rnacentral:lncRNA from 1 species
CUAUCCAGCGCGCCCAACAGCAAAAGCUGUAUCACGCAUUUCGUCCUCACGUCCUGCAGAAACGGACUCUCUGCUUCGCUCCCGUCGGGGCCAAGCUCCAUCACAUCCACAUCCUGCACACCCAACGUUCGUCUUGUCAGACAACCCCACGCUCAACCAUGGAUCCUUCCCUCACAAAACCUCCUCUUCCCCUAACGCCUCCAACUACUCAGGGGACGCUGUCCACGCUACGCCUCCCGCCGCCACGCUUCUCGACACGUCCUUUGCAUACCCCAAUCUCUAUACUUUCCGACACCACAUAUGCACCUCCCUCACCACCUCCACAACCCCGGUAACCCUACACCACACUUCACACACCACACUGCACCAGGUUCUGCUCAACCACCACAUUACCUGCAAAGAACUUUGCACACCAACAUCUGUGGGUUUGCUCUUCGCACUCCUGAAUGACGUGUUCCUCAUCAGCAGUGUGUCCAUCACAUUGCUCAUGAAAGUCCGCCCACUCGCCAGAUUCGCUGCCUUGGCGUCCCUCGGAGAAGCCACCGAACCUGGUGCUUCAAAACCUGCACAGCACCACGCUUCCCAUUCAU